rnacentral:rRNA from 1 species
UACAGAGGGGGCAAGCGUUGUUCGGAAUUACUGGGCGUAAAGGGCGCGUAGGCGGCCUUCUAAGUCGAACGUGAAAUCCCCGGGCUCAACCCGGGAACUGCGUCCGAUACUGGAAGGCUUGAAUCCGGGAGAGGGAUGUGGAAUUCCAGGUGUAGCGGUGAAAUGCGUAGAUAUGACAUAGAACACCAAUUGCGAAGGCAGCUCGCUACGCGGUUAUUGACACUGAGGCACGAAAGCGUGGGGAUCAAAUAGG